ACAUAACUGAUGCCUCCGCGUAUCGACUUUGUGCGCACUUUAGCUAUUAUGUGUUCUUUUAAUUAAAGUGAUUCUUUUUAAGAUUCAUCUAUUAAAAAUUUGCUUCGGCAUAAUUUUUUUUGAUGAUCUUGUUACUUUGAGUAAAUUAGAGUGUUCAAAGCAAACAGAUAUAGCAUUUGUGCGUUUGAAUACUACAGCAUGGAAUAACAAAAUUGAACAAGUCAGAAUUUUUUUGUUCUUUUUUCUUAUUUUGGCUUAGUUACGAUUAAUAGGAGUAGCUUGGGGGCAUUUGUAUUCAGAUGUCAGAGGUGAAAUUCUUAGAUUUUCUGGAGACAAACAACUGCGAAAGCAUUUGCCUAAAAUACUUCCAUUAAUCAAGAACGAAAGUUAAGGGAGUGAAGACGAUCAGAUACCGUCGUAAUCUUAACCAUAAACUAUGCCGACUAGGCUUUGGAUGAAAGAUUUUAAAAUAAGAGUUUUUCUUUUCUCUCCGGAGAUUAGAACUCUUAGAUUGCUUCCUUCAGUGCCUUAUGAGAAAUCAAAGUCUUUGGGUUCUGGGGCGAGUAUUCGCGCAAGCGAGAAAGUUAAAAGAAUUGACGGAAGGGCACCACCAGGCGUGGAGCUUGCGGCUUAAUUUGACUCAACACGGGAAAACUCACUAGUUUAAGACAAGAGUAGGAUUGACAGAUUAAUAGCUCUUUCUUGAUUUCUUGGAUGGUGAUGCAUGGCCGUUUUUAGUUCGUGAAUAUGAUUUGUCUGGUUAAUUCCGAUAACGAACGAGAUCUUAACCUGCUAAUUAGCGGCAAAUACGAUAUAUUCUUAUGUAGAAUUGAAUAUAGUGGAUUUGUUGGAUUUUGAAGAAAAUAUUGGAAUUACGUUAAAUGUGAUUCCUUUCCCUUUUCUACUUAAUUUACAUUUCCAUCUAUUUCUUUUUUGCGUAUGAAUGUAUUUGCUUGAUUGUAAAGCUUCUUAGAGGAACGAUGUGUG
rnacentral:rRNA from 1 species